UCCAAACUUUCGUUCACUUCCAAAAUUGAGAGAGCAAACUUUCGUUCACUUCCAAAGUUGAGAAAGGGAAACCCUACAACCGCACAUCUUGAGUUCUUCCUUUCAAUUCAAGUUUAGUUCGUUCGAUUCAAGUUUAAUUCGCCCUAACUUAGUUUAAUUUCGAAUCAACUCAUCUUGAUUUGGGGUAUAUAUGGAUGCUUUCCGUUUAUAACUCGAGGUAUAUAUUCAUAUUUGUAAAUGGUAUUGAUCAUCUAUAUGUGGGGAAAAGUUUCUGGUGUUAUCAUUUGAGUAACUCUCUUUUCGGAUAGAAACUACACAUUCUGCACCGGAUGUGGAGAUGAUUAUUAAUGUUCCUCCAACUAUGCCAG